CCUACGGGAGGCAGCAGUGGGGAAUAUUGCACAAUGGGGGAAACCCUGAUGCAGCGACGCCGCGUGAGUGAAGAAGUAAUUCGUUACGUAAAGCUCUAUCAGCAGGGAAGAAAAUGACGGUACCUGAGUAAGAAGCCCCGGCUAACUACGUGCCAGCAGCCGCGGUAAUACGUAGGGGGCAAGCGUUAUCCGGAUUUACUGGUAGUAAAGGGAGUGGAGACGGUGCGCCAAGUCUGGAGUGAAAUGCCGCGGCUUAACUGCGGCACUGCGUUGGAAACUGGCGAACGAGAGUGCGGGAGGGGUAAGCGGAAUUCCUAGUGUAGCGGUGAAAUGCGUAGAUAUUAGGAGGAACACCGGUGGCGAAGGCGGCUUACUGGACCGUAACUGACGUUGAGGCUCGAAAGCGUGGGGAGCAAACAGGAUUAGAUACCCGAGUAGUC
rnacentral:rRNA from 1 species